AUGUCGGAAUAUGUGUUUAAAUUGAGCCGUGAGCUUUCCCAAUGUAGACAGGGCUCCUGGAAACGUGGCAGUGUCCCCCCUGCAGCUGCAGAGCGAGACAGGAGAGUUUGUUUUUGUGAAUGAGCAGUUGUAGCGCGAGGUGGCUGUUGCUUGGUGACGGUGAGGCUCCCCGGCCCCGCCCAUCCCCCGUGCAGACGUCACGCGGAGGCGGUUGGGAGGAGAAGUCGCUCGAGCGGGGAAGCGGCGGGAGGGCGGCCGUUAGGAAAAUGGCGCCGUGCGGCCCGGGGCAGACACCCGUCACUGGGCACCGCCGCCUUCCUGGCGCAGCUGCUGUGUCACGGCCACACCGGCCGGCUGUACAGCAGGCAGGAGCCGGUGAGCAUUCUGGAGGCGGAUGGGGUUAAGGGCCUGCUUGGGAACUCGUCGGCCGCCUGGGUGGUGGAGUUCUACUGGUCGUGGGGCGGCCCCUGUGUCAACUAUGGGGCCACCUGGAAGGUACUGGGCCCGGGAGGUGAAAGGUUCAGCUCGGCUCGAAUUACCGAUAAGGGACAGAGAGAACGAAUCCAUCAUUCUAUGAAGCAGCACAGUCUAAUGGCCUGAGGAGCAGAGACAACCUGCAGCUGCAAGGUCAGGCUAUCAAAACAGCCAGGGCUCAGACAGCAUUAUGUUAACAGGCUAAAUUUUACUGCAAACAUUGCUUUGUGACAAAAUGGCCUCCAUGCAGUUUUGUCAAUUUUGAUCAAAUUCUCCACAAUCCCUCCUUUUUAUUAAAAGGAAGAGAUUAUGGGUGUCAGCAAAAGAGGGAUUAUACCCAGAGCCAGGAGGAUUGUCAGGGGUUGGUGCUUGGAGAUCGGACUGAUAGUCUUCAGGUUCAGUAAGGACAGGGGCAGAAGGCUCCAGGGAUUGGGAAUCAUCAUCAGGGGUUUCAUCAGGAAUGGGAAAUCUCAGCAAUUGGGAGAUCGCUGGAGAGGAGGGCCACAACAGUGAACUGAGCCGAGCACAGGAUUGUCUGCGAGGUGACUUUGAUAUCCAGUUGAGCAGUUCCAAAGGCAGGGGGAAAGAAAGCUGCAAGUUGCUCAAACUCCAUAAGGGCUCGCUUGGUACGAGUUCAGGAUGGAUGGGGAUAUGGGCACAUACCUAGCAGCUAGAGUGGUUGACCU